rnacentral:rRNA from 1 species
GACGAACGCUGGCGGCGUGCUUAACACAUGCAAGUCGAACGAAGAGCGAUGGAAGCUUGCUUCUAUCAAUCUUAGUGGCGAACGGGUGAGUAACGCGUAAUCAACCUGCCCUUCAGAGGGGGACAACAGUUGGAAACGACUGCUAAUACCGCAUACGAUCUAAUCUCGGCAUCGAGGAUAGAUGAAAGGUGGCCUCUACAUGCAAGCUAUCACUGAAGGAGGGGAUUGCGUCUGAUUAGCUAGUUGGAGGGGUAACGGCCCACCAAGGCGAUGAUCAGUAGCCGGUCUGAGAGGAUGAACGGCCACAUUGGGACUGAGACACGGCCCAGACUCCUACGGGAGGCAGCAGUGGGGAAUCUUCCGCAAUAGACGAAAGUCUGACGGAGCAACGCCGCGUGAGUGAUGACGGCCUUCGGGUUGUAAAGCUCUGUUAAUCGGGACGAAAGGCCUUCUUGCGAAUAGUGAGAAGGAUUGACGGUACCGGAAUAGAAAGCCACGGCUAACUACGUG